rnacentral:rRNA from 1 species
AGAGUUUGAUCCUGGCUCAGGAUGAACGCUAGCGGGAGGCUUAACACAUGCAAGUCGAGGGGUAACAGGGUCUUCGGACCGCUGACGACCGGCGAACGGGUGAGUAACGCGUAUGCAACCUUCCCUUUACAGGAGGAUAGCCCGGAGAAAUUCGGAUUAAUACUCCAUGGCUCCAUGUUUUUGCAUGAUAAUAUGGAUAAAGUUUCGACGGUAAAGGAUGGGCAUGCGUACCAUUAGCUAGUUGGUAAGGUAACUGCUUACCAAGGCUACGAUGGUUAGGGGGCCUGAGAGGGUGAUCCCCCACACUGGUACUGAGACACGGACCAGACUCCUACGGGAGGCAGCAGUGAGGAAUAUUGGUCAAUGGGCGCAAGCCUGAACCAGCCAUCCCGCGUGAAGGAUGAAUGCCCUAUGGGUUGUAAACUUCUUUUAUGUACCAAGAAUGGUUACUACGUGUAGUGAUUUGACGGUAGUACAUGAAUAAGCAUCGGCUAACUCCGUGCCAGCAGCCGCGGUAAUACGGAGGAUGCGAGCGUUAUCCGGAUUCAUUGGGUUUAAAGGGUGCGUAGGCGGGCUAUUAAGUCAGAGGUGAAAUGCUGCCGCUUAACGGUAGAAUUGCCUUUGAUACUGGUAGUCUUGAGUGUAGUUGAGGUAGGCGGAAUGAGUAGUGUAGCGGUGAAAUGCUUAGAUAUUACUCAGAACACCAAUUGCGAAGGCAGCUUACUAAACUAUAACUGACGCUGAUGCACGAAAGCGUGGGGAGCGAACAGGAUUAGAUACCCUGGUAGUCCACGCUGUAAACGAUGUUCACUCGCUGUUUGCGAUAUAUUGUAAGCGGCCAAGCGAAAGCAUUAAGUGAACCACCUGGGGAGUACGAUCGCAAGGUUGAAACUCAAAGGAAUUGACGGGGGCCCGCACAAGCGGAGGAACAUGUGGUUUAAUUCGAUGAUACGCGAGGAACCUUACCUGGGCUUAAAUGUAGGUUGCAUGAUGUGGAAACACACUUCCCUUCGGGGCUACCUACAAGGUGCUGCAUGGUUGCCGUCAGCUCGUGCCGUGAGGUGUCGGGUUAAGUCCCAUAACGAGCGCAACCCUUAUUGUUAGUUGCUAACAGGUCAAGCUGAGGACUCUAGCGAGACUGCCACCGUAAGGUGAGAGGAAGGUGGGGAUGACGUCAAAUCAGCACGGCCCUUAUGUCCAGGGCCACACACGUGUUACAAUGGUCGGUACAGAGGGCUGCUACCCCGCGAGGGGAUGCUAAUCUCGAAAGCCGGUCUCAGUUCGGACCGAAGUCUGCAACCCGACUUCGUGAAGUUGGAUUCGCUAGUAAUCGCGCAUCAGCCAUGGCGCGGUGAAUACGUUCCCGGGCCUUGUACACACCGCCCGUCAAACCAUGGAAGCUGGGGGUGCCUGAAGUCUGUCACCGUAAGGAGCGGCCUAGGGUAAAACUAGUGACUGGGGUUAAGUCGUAACAAGGUA